GCAUCAGCAUCACUUGGAACCCCAUCCCAUGUGGCAGCAGAGGAGGCAGUAUCACAGGCUACAUCUCAAAGUUGUUUUUAAAAGGAAAUAUCCAAAUUCAAGAUGACGUGAUUGGUGAGAGUACGUCUGUACAGUUUGACGAGUUGGCUCCAUGUACAAACUACACCAUCGCUGUAACUACAGACGGAGCAAGCAUAGGCACAUCAUUUGAGCGGGAAGAGACCACAUAUACUGUCGCUCCAGGAAGAGUGACCGUGCUACGGGCAAACCCAACCUCAGACGCAACCCAGAUCCAUGUUACUUGGCUGAACCCCAACGCCAACAACUGCCCAGUUUCUAAGUACAAAGUAGAAUAUCAACUUACGAACAGGGACCAGUGUGACAGAGACGUAACCCAGAAUCGUGAGCAGUGGCUUGAUGGCUCCCAGUCACCAACAACCAUAACUGGAUUAGACCCUCACUCCACGUAUCGUGUAUACGUCACGCCUUCUAACAGUGCAGGGGCAGGGGAAGAAGUAUCAG